UACGGAGGGUGCAAGCGUUAUCCGGAUUCACUGGGUUUAAAGGGUGCGUAGGUGGGUUGGUAAGUCGGUGGUGAAAUCCCCGAGCUUAACUUGGGAACUGCCAUUGAUACUAUUAAUCUUGAAUACCGUGGAGGUUAGCGGAAUAUGACAUGUAGCGGUGAAAUGCUUAGAUAUGACAUAGGACACCAAUUGCGAAGGCAGCUGGCUACACGAAUAUUGACACUGAUGCACGAAAGCGUGGGGAUCAAACAGG
rnacentral:rRNA from 1 species